GAUGAACGCUGGCGGCGUGCCUAAUACAUGCAAGUCGAGCGAACGGACGAGAAGCUUGCUUCUCUGAUGUUAGCGGCGGACGGGUGAGUAACACGUGGAUAACCUACCUAUAAGACUGGGAUAACUUCGGGAAACCGGAGCUAAUACCGGAUAAUAUUUUGAACCGCAUGGUUCAAAAGUGAAAGACGGUCUUGCUGUCACUUAUAGAUGGAUCCGCGCUGCAUUAGCUAGUUGGUAAGGUAACGGCUUACCAAGGCAACGAUGCAUAGCCGACCUGAGAGGGUGAUCGGCCACACUGGAACUGAGACACGGUCCAGACUCCUACGGGAGGCAGCAGUAGGGAAUCUUCCGCAAUGGGCGAAAGCCUGACGGAGCAACGCCGCGUGAGUGAUGAAGGUCUUCGGAUCGUAAAACUCUGUUAUUAGGGAAGAACAUAUGUGUAAGUAACUGUGCACAUCUUGACGGUACCUAAUCAGAAAGCCACGGCUAACUACGUGCCAGCAGCCGCGGUAAUACGUAGGUGGCAAGCGUUAUCCGGAAUUAUUGGGGCGUAAAGCGCGCGUAGGCGGUUUUUUAAGUCUGAUGUGAAAGCCCACGGCUCAACCGUGGAGGGUCAUUGGAAACUGGAAAACUUGAGUGCAGAAGAGGAAAGUGGAAUUCCAUGUGUAGCGGUGAAAUGCGCAGAGAUAUGGAGGAACACCAGUGGCGAAGGCGACUUUCUGGUCUGUAACUGACGCUGAUGUGCGAAAGCGUGGGGAUCAAACAGGAUUAGAUACCCUGGUAGUCCACGCCGUAAACGAUGAGUGCUAAGUGUUAGGGGGUUUCCGCCCCUUAGUGCUGCAGCUAACGCAUUAAGCACUCCGCCUGGGGAGUACGACCGCAAGGUUGAAACUCAAAGGAAUUGACGGGGACCCGCACAAGCGGUGGAGCAUGUGGUUUAAUUCGAAGCAACGCGAAGAACCUUACCAAAUCUUGACAUCCUUUGACAACUCUAGAGAUAGAGCUUUCCCCUUCGGGGGACAAAGUGACAGGUGGUGCAUGGUUGUCGUCAGCUCGUGUCGUGAGAUGUUGGGUUAAGUCCCGCAACGAGCGCAACCCUUAAGCUUAGUUGCCAUCAUUAAGUUGGGCACUCUAAGUUGACUGCCGGUGACAAACCGGAGGAAGGUGGGGAUGACGUCAAAUCAUCAUGCCCCUUAUGAUUUGGGCUACACACGUGCUACAAUGGACAAUACAAAGGGCAGCGAAACCGCGAGGUCAAGCAAAUCCCAUAAAGUUGUUCUCAGUUCGGAUUGUAGUCUGCAACUCGACUACAUGAAGCUGGAAUCGCUAGUAAUCGUAGAUCAGCAUGCUACGGUGAAUACGUUCCCGGGUCU
rnacentral:rRNA from 1 species